GUCGAAAACUGCACAGUUAAGCCACAUGUUAACUUGUUUUUAACCAUUCCAUGUUGUUUGUAGGAAGGUUGCCUUGGCUGCCUCCUACGAUUACAUGAACAAUUUUCGGCGCGGAAUGCGUCAAGGAAAACGGACAUUAACGUAAGGCUAGCCCUCUUGCUGCUCUUUGGUUGUAUGGAGGGUGUAGCAUCGUUGAAAUAUUUGGUU
rnacentral:misc_RNA from 1 species